GAACGACAACGACUUCAACAAAUAAUCUGAAUAAGCUAUCCAUUUACGGCGAUUUUUACGUGUUGAAUUUCUCUUUGUAUUUUCUACCUUGUACGCUCAUCUUUUUAUUUUAAAUCAAACAGUUCUACCAGGGUUCCUCCUAGGCGUUAGCAGUAUGUAAAAAAACUUCCACAAUGUCUUUUUCACCAAAACAUGACGCGUUCGUCUUAAAGGAACAUUAUCGAAGUGCAAGUCUACAGGAUGGAACAUGGACGUAUUCCAUUUAGUCCUGUCGCCAGCAAUUCUAUCAAGAAUUUCCUGAUAUCCAACGUUUUCUUACAAGAAAUCGUCUGCACAUCACUGAGGAACUUCAAAAUGCAAUCGAAGAGGAACUAAUGAACA